ACUAAUGACUAUUAGUUUAUUCACUAACUAAUACAAAUGAGUAGAACAAAAUCAAAUAACUCAAUCUUCUUUCAUCACGGACCCAUCACUGAUUAGGUGGUCUAUUUUCCCCUCGGGUUUCUCAAAGAAGUCUGCCACAUCCAGGUGGGUGUUGUCCAAGUUGUCGUCAUAGACAAAAUUUCUUUCAGGGCCUUUACUCUUUCGAGAUGCUUGAUAAAAGUCAACCAAGUGUCUUGGUAUACGGC
rnacentral:lncRNA from 1 species